CCAGACUCCUACGGGAGGCAGCAGUGGGGGAUAUUGCACAAUGGGGGGAACCCUGAUGCAGCGACGCCGCGUGGGUGAAGGAGUAUUUCGGUAUGUAAAGCCCUAUCGGCAGGGAAGAAGCAAGACGGUACCUGAAGAAGAAGCCCCGGCUAACUACGUGCCAGCAGCCGCGGUAAUACGUAGGGGGCAAGCGUUAUCCGGAUUUACUGGGUGUAAAGGGGGCGCAGACGGCGAUGCAAGCCAGGAGUGAAAGCCCGGGGCCCAACCCCGGGACUGCUCUUGGAACUGCGUGGCUGGAGUGCAGGAGGGGCAGGCGGAAUUCCUGGUGUAGCGGUGAAAUGCGUAGAUAUUAGGAGGAACACCAGUGGCGAAGGCGGCCUGCUGGACGAUGACUGACGUUGAGGCUCGAAAGCGUGGGGAGCAAACAGGAUUAGAUACCCCAGUA
rnacentral:rRNA from 1 species